GUCAUUUGUUACUCAUUUGUGACGAUCAUGUGUCACUAUGUUUACAUGUUUUGCGAUGCGGUGAGUGAAAUUGUAUGAGGGUGGGUGUGUGUGUGUGUUUGGGUGAAUAGAGUAAACACGGUAUAUCAGGACUACAGCUGCUUCCUCUGAUGUUCAGAUAAAUCAGUGUGUGUACGGUGUCCUGUUGCUCCAGUGUAAAAAUGAUCCCGCAAGAAGCAAAAGGAAGUGGAAAAAGAUCACAGUGUGCAGUUGGUUCUGAGAAACUGUCCCAUUAUUUGUUUGCAGAUGCCACAAAGUUGAUGCAGUGAAAUUUAUUUAUUUUAAAAUGUUGUAAUUUACUCACCUUUAUGUGGUUCCAAACCUGUAUGAGUUUCUUUCCUCAACAUGUCCAUCUAGCAUGUGCUUACAUAGAAAUACAAUGGAACACAGGGCAGUGAAAUGUAAAAAUGUGUUAUUUGUGAAUGGCCAAGUGUCCAAAUACUUUCUGGGGUCACUGUGUGUCCCUGAGUAAGUUUUGAGUACUGAUUUCUGUCUCUUCACAGCUCCAGCUCUUCGGCCUGGCGUGUGAGGUCAGGGCCCGUGGGUAAAGUGGCUCGCAGAAGGAGCCGAGGUCAGUCCGGACGAGGAAGUUCCCUUCUGCUGAAGAAUCGCAGCGCUAGAUCUCAACAGACAGCAGCUCAAACGUUUGUGCGGCCAGAGAGCAGCAACAAUGAUGAAUGUCAAGAAACCCAAAGCAGGUGGAAAAGCAGUAGGUGUGGCGGAAAAAUGAAGCAGAAGCGUUGAUCUCCGGUCAGUUAUAUCAGCAGGCUGUAUUUAAACCCUCGGGCCCCCAGAGGCCAACUUCCUGCCAUUUCCACCUGCCCCCUUCUAUGGAAGGAGCUGACACAGGAGCAGAUGAGUCACACCAGCUAUAAACACAAGCAUCUGGCCUUUUAACUUUUAACAUCCACCUUCCUGGUGCCUUUGCACUGUCCUUUGUAGCACUUGUAAUGAUGUCAGGGGGAGCGUGAAACUUUCCUUGACUGGGACUGUAAAGUUGUUGCGAAGGUCGUUCUCGUGUGUGUGUGCAAACAUGUUGUUCCUUUAGUUUCAGCAUCACCUUCUGAGAAUUUUAAUCCUCCCAUGAACCAAUAAUGCAGUUAAUAAGGAGUUCAAAAUAAAGUUCCUGAAGCAGAAUCCUUGCCA
ensembl:lncRNA